GCUGGGGGUGGGGGGGUUCAUUUUCACAUAUCAUGUAAAAUCAGGGUCCUGUUUCUCUCUUCUGCAUCCCGAUACCAUUUUUCUCAAAGGUAUUCAUUGAGCAGACUCUGCCUUCCACAUUGUGGUGGUCUUUAUCAAAGUUCAUCUGGGUUGCUCCACAUGACACUGUUUCUUCAUUUCGGUGGCUGAAGAAUAUUCCCUAGUGUAUGCAUACGAGAGUGUGAUCCGUUUAUCUGUGGAUGGACAGGAGAUGAAGAUGUUUUCAGUCUGCAUGCCUGAGAUGGUGUGGAAUGGGACUUUGUCUACCAGGCUCAUUCGUUGGACCUGAUGAUCUCCAGGUUUCUUCAUGUGGCUCCAGAUGGCAGGAUUUCCCAGAGCUUUAUGGCUGGAACGUACUCCGUGGUGUAUCUGUACAUCAGUUUCUUCAUCUGUGCAGCUGUGUGUGGACAGGUCAUAUACCACGAUUUCCUCCAGGUUCAACAGCGUGGCUCCCAAUGAUGAAAUUUCAUUCUGGUUUUUUGGCUGAAGACGAUUUUAUUUGUGUACAUCCACCAAGUAUCCCUUCAUCUGCGGAUGAGCAGGUAAGUCUAUUCUUUGUCUUGGCAAUGGUGAAUAGUGCUGCAGUCCACAUAGGAUGGCAGACGCCUGUUGCAUGGACUGAUUUCUUUUGCCCUGAAAGUAUACUUAGUAGUACACUUGUUAGAUGAAGUGGUAGGUAUAGGUUAAACUUUUGGAGGAACCUCCCACUGGUUUCUGUAGUAUGUGUACUGAUUAAUGUUCU